rnacentral:rRNA from 1 species
UACGUAGGGGGCAAGCGUUAUCCGGAUUCACUGGGUUUAAAGGGUGCGUAGGAGGGCAGGUAAGUCAGUGGUGAAAUCCCCGAGCUUAACUUGGGAACUGCCGUUGAUACUAUCUGUCUUGAAUACCGUGGAGGUGAGCGGAAUAUGUCAUGUAGCGGUGAAAUGCUUAGAUAUGACAUAGAACACCAAUUGCGAAGGCAGCUCGCUACACGAAUAUUGACUCUGAGGCACGAAAGCGUGGGGAUCAAACAGG